rnacentral:rRNA from 1 species
AACGAACGCUGGCGGCGUGCCUAACACAUGCAAGUCGAACGGGGAUGGGGAGCUUGCUUCCUAUUCUAGUGGCGCACGGGUGAGUAACGCGUAGACAAUCUGCCUGAUGAUCUGGGAUAACACCUCGAAAGGGGUGCUAAUACCGGAUAAGCCCACGGGGACUUUGGUCUUUGCGGGAAAAGGGGGGGACCUUUUGGCCUUCUGUCAUCAGAUGAGUCUGCGUACCAUUAGCUAGUUGGUAGGGGAAAGGCCUACCAAGGGGACGAUGGUUAUCUGUGCUGAGAGGAUAGUCAGCCACACUGGAACCGAGACACGGUCCAGACUCCUACGGGAUGCAGCAGUGGGGAAUUUUGCGCAAUGGGGGAAAGCCUGACGCAGCAACGCCGCGUGAGUGAUGAAGGCUUUCGGGUCGUAAAGCUCUGUCAAUGGGAAAGAAGUGUAUUUUGGCUAAUAUCCUUAAUACUUGACGGUACCCAUAAAGGAAGCACCGGCUAACUCCGUGCCAGCCGCCGCCGUAACAC